rnacentral:rRNA from 1 species
AUGAACGCUAGCUACAGGCUUAACACAUGCAAGUCGAGGGGCAGCAUGGUCUUAGCUUGCUAAGGCCGAUGGCGACCGGCGCACGGGUGAGUAACACGUAUCCAACCUGCCGUCUACUCUUGGACAGCCUUCUGAAAGGAAGAUUAAUACAAGAUGGCAUCAUGAGUCCACAUGUUCACAUGAUUAAAGGUAUUCCGGUAGACGAUGGGGAUGCGUUCCAUUAGAUAGUAGGCGGGGUAACGGCCCACCUAGUCUUCGAUGGAUAGGGGUUCUGAGAGGAAGGUCCCCCACAUUGGAACUGAGACACGGUCCAAACUCCUACGGGAGGCAGCAGUGAGGAAUAUUGGUCAAUGGGCGAGAGCCUGAACCAGCCAAGUAGCGUGAAGGAUGACUGCCCUAUGGGUUGUAAACUUCUUUUAUAAAGGAAUAAAGUCGGGUAUGCAUACCCGUUUGCAUGUACUUUAUGAAUAAGGAUCGGCUAACUCCGUGCCAGCAGCCGCGGUAAUACGGAGGAUCCGAGCGUUAUCCGGAUUUAUUGGGUUUAAAGGGAGCGUAGAUGGAUGUUUAAGUCAGUUGUGAAAGUUUGCGGCUCAACCGUAAAAUUGCAGUUGAUACUGGAUAUCUUGAGUGCAGUUGAGGCAGGCGGAAUUCGUGGUGUAGCGGUGAAAUGCUUAGAUAUCACGAAGAACUCCGAUUGCGAAGGCAGCCUGCUAAGCUGCAACUGACAUUGAGGCUCGAAAGUGUGGGUAUCAAACAGGAUUAGAUACCCUGGUAGUCCACACGGUAAACGAUGAAUACUCGCUGUUUGCGAUAUACAGCAAGCGGCCAAGCGAAAGCGUUAAGUAUUCCACCUGGGGAGUACGCCGGCAACGGUGAAACUCAAAGGAAUUGACGGGGGCCCGCACAAGCGGAGGAACAUGUGGUUUAAUUCGAUGAUACGCGAGGAACCUUACCCGGGCUUAAAUUGCAGAUGAAUUACGGUGAAAGCCGUAAGCCGCAAGGCAUCUGUGAAGGUGCUGCAUGGUUGUCGUCAGCUCGUGCCGUGAGGUGUCGGCUUAAGUGCCAUAACGAGCGCAACCCUUGUUGUCAGUUACUAACAGGUUCCGCUGAGGACUCUGACAAGACUGCCAUCGUAAGAUGUGAGGAAGGUGGGGAUGACGUCAAAUCAGCACGGCCCUUACGUCCGGGGCUACACACGUGUUACAAUGGGGGGGUACAGAGGGCCGCUACCACGCGAGUGGAUGCCAAUCCCAAAAACCUCUCUCAGUUCGGACUGGAGUCUGCAACCCGACUCCACGAAGCUGGAUUCGCUAGUAAUCGCGCAUCAGCCACGGCGCGGUGAAUACGUUCCCGGGCCUUGUACACACCGCCCGUCAAGCCAUGGGAGCCGGGGGUACCUGAAGUGCGUAACCGCGAGGAGCGCCCUAGGGUAAAACUGGUGACUGGGGCU